rnacentral:rRNA from 1 species
CCCUUAGAUGUUCUGGGCCGCACGCGCGCUACACUGAUGAAUGCAACGAGCUCUACCCUUGACCGAAAGGCCCGGGUAAACUUGUGAAACUUCAUCGUGAUGGGGAUAGAUUAUUGCAAUUAUUAAUCUUCAACGAGGAAUUCCUAGUAAGCGCGAGUCAUCAGCUCGCGUUGAUUACGCCCCUGCCCUUUGUACACACCGCCCGUCGCUCCUACCGAUUGAAUGGUCCGGUGAAUCUUUAGGACUGUGGCUGAGGCCUUGCCUUGUGCGGGUCUGGCCGUGGGAAUUUAGUUAAACCUUACCAUUUAGAGGAAGGUGAAGUCGUAACA